rnacentral:rRNA from 1 species
GGACGAACGCUGGCGGCGUGCUUAACACAUGCAAGUCGAGCGGUAAGGCCCUUUCGGGGGUACACGAGCGGCGAACGGGUGAGUAACACGUGGGUGACCUGCCCUCAGCUCUGGGAUAAGCCUGGGAAACCGGGUCUAAUACUGGAUAUGACUCCAUGACGCAUGUUGUGGGGUGGAAAGCCUUGUGCGGCUGAGGAUGGGCCCGCGGCCUAUCAGCUUGUUGGUGAGGUAAGGCUCACCAAGGCGACGACGGCUCGCUGGUCUGAGAGGACGACCAGCCACACUGGGACUGAGACACGGCCCAGACUCCUACGGGAGGCAGCAGUGGGGAAUCUUGCGCAAUGGGCGAAAGCCUGACGCAGCAACGCCGCGUGGGGGAUGACGGUCUUCGGAUUGUAAACCCCUUUCAGCAGGGACGAAUCUGACGGUACCUGCAGAAGAAGCCCCGGCCAACUACGUGCCAGCCGCCG